ensembl:lincRNA
ACACAUUUAGGGAGUAUAGGUGAAAGCCUAUUUCAUAUCUUUUUAGCAGAUAGCAUGUUUUUUCUUAAUAUUUAUAGGAAAACUAUUUUGGGGAAGAUGAUAUGUAUAUGGAUUUUGAAGAAGUUAUUUCAAGCCCUGUUCUGUCACUGUCAACAUCGUCCAGCUCUGGAUGGACUGCUGUUGGAAUGGAAAAUGACAAAAAGGAAAAUGAGAGUUCAGCCAAAUCGAUUCAUCCCCUUACUUUGCGUCCUUGGGAUAUUACUGUACUUGUUAAUUUGUACAAAGUUCAUGGGCGUCUUCCAGUUCAUGGAACUACAGAUGGGCCUGAUUGCCCUACAGCUUUCUUGGAAAGACUAUGUUUUGAAAUGAAAAAAGGAUUUAGAGAGACCAUGCUGCAACUUGUCUUGUCACCCCUCAAUGUGUUUGUCAGCGAUAACUAUCAGCGACCACCUGUGGAUGAAGUUCUCAGGGAAGGUCACAUCAGUUUAUCAGGUCUCCAGCUGAGAGCACAUGCUAUGUUCUCAGCAGAAGGUCUUCCUUUAGGAAGUGAUUCCUUAGAAUAUGCAUGGCUAAUUGAUGUGCAGGCUGGAAGCCUUACAGCAAAGGUCACAGCACCACAGCUGACAUGUCUCUUGGAGUGGGGACAGACCUUUGUUUUUCAUGUGGUGUGUCGGGAAUAUGAACUGGAAAGACCAAAAUCAGUGAUCAUGUGUCAGCAUGGUAUUGAUCGUCGGUUCUGCGAAUCCAAAUUGAGUUGUAUUCCUGGGCCUUGUCCAACUUCAGAUGAUUUGAAAUAUACCAUGACUCGCUUAGCAGUGGAUGGAGCUGAUCUUUAUAUUGUGGAACAUGGUUGUGCUACAAAUAUAAAGAUGGGCACAAUUCGGGUCGCAAACUGUAAUCUCCACAAUCAGUCAGUUGGGGAAGGAAUAAGUGCUGCGAUUCAGGAUUUUCAAGUGAGACAGUACAUUGAGCAAUUAAAUAAUUGCAGAGUUGGACUUCAGCCUGCAGUGCUACGGAGGGCCUACUGGCUUGAAGCUGGGUCAGCCAACUUAGGACUUAUUACUGUUGAUAUUGCAUUAGCUGCUGAUCAUCAUGCUAAACAUGAAGCACAAAGACAUUUCUUGGAAACACAUGAUGCUAGAACUAAGAGAUUGUGGUUUUUAUGGCCAGAUGAUACUCUGAAGAAUAAGAGGUGUAGAAACAAGUGUGGAUGUCUGGGUGGCUGCAGAUUCUUUGGUGGCAUAGUAACUGGCCUAGAUUUCUUCAAACUGGAAGAAUUGACACCUUCCAGUAGCUCUGCGUUUUCAAGCAUAAGUGUGGACUCUGAUAUGUGUUAUGGUCAGUCUCUGCUACAGCCUGGAGAAUGGAUUAUUACAAAAGAAAUUCCCAGAAUUACAGAUGGUAACCUGAAUGGUAUGAAGAGGAAAGAAUGGGAAAACAAAUCAGUGGGAAUAGAAGUAGAAAGAAAAACUCAGCACCUUAGUCUUCAAGUACCAUUACGAUCUCAUAGUUCAUCCUCUUCCUCAGAAGAAAAUAGUAGUUCUAGUGCUGUGCAACCUUUAUUAGCAGGCGAAAAGGAAAGUCCCUCUUCUGCUGCGGAUGACCGUGUAGUUCAGAAGGAGUUCUUGCAUGGUACGAAAAGAGAUGAUGUCCAAGUAAGUAUUCCUACAGAAAUUUCAGGAACCAGUCCUGUGUCUCCUAAUACUCAGGAUAAGUCAGUAGGUCAGUCUCCUCUUAGAUCUCCUUUGAAGCGACAAGCCUCUGUAUGUUCUACCCGACUUGGAAGUACGAAGAGUCUUACUGCUGCUUUUUAUGGGGACAAGCAGCCUGUUACAGUUGGAGUCCAGUUUAGUAGUGAUGUCUCUCGAAGUGAUGAGAAUGUACUAGACUCACCAAAGCAGAGGAGAAGUUUUGGUUCAUUCCCAUACACACCAUCAGCAGACUCCAAUUCAUUUCAUCAGUAUCGAUCAAUGGAUUCCAGCAUGUCAAUGGCUGAUAGUGAAGCUUACUUUUCUGCAGCUGAGGAAUUUGAGCCCAUUAGCAGUGAUGAGGGCCCUGGAACUUACCCUGGCAGGAAGAAGAAGAAGAAGCAAACACAACAGAUUGACUACAGUAGGGGUUCUAUAUACCACAGUGUAGAAGGACCACUUACCGGCCAUGGAGAAAACAUUCCUGAUCCCCGAACUCUGCCAUUCAAAACUCAUCCUUCCCAAGCUUCAUUUGUUUCUGCAUUAGGUGGAGAAGAUGAGGUGAUAGAACAUUUGUAUGUUAUAGAAGGUGAGAAAACAGCAGAGAGUGAACAGAUCACUUCCCAGCAACCUGUGAUGAAUUGUUAUCAGACUUACCUUACUCAGUUCCAGGUAAUUAAUUGGUCAGUUAAACAUCCAAGCAACAAAAGAACCUCUAAGUCCUCACUGCAUCGCCCUCUUGAUCUGGAUACACCCACCAGUGAAGAAAGUGCAUCAUCCUUUGAACAGCUUUCUGUUCCAACAUUUAAGGUUAUAAAACAGGGGCUUACAGCUAAUUCGUUGCUAGACAGAGGCAUGCAACUUUCAGGAUCAACUUCAAAUACUCCAUAUACCCCCCUGGAAAAGAAGAGCGUUGAUAACACGGAUGAUGAGACUUUGGCAGAAGAGUGGGCCCUGGACCAGCCAGUCACUCAGACCAGGACGACGGCGGUGGUGGAAGUUAAAGGAACUGUCGAUGUAGUACUGACUCCACUGGUGGCUGAAGCUUUGGAUAGAUAUAUUGAAGCAAUGGUUCAUUGUGCCAGUACUCGACACCCAGCUGCAAUUGUAGAUGAUCUUCACACGAAAGUCCUUAGGGAAGCUGUCCAGAACAGCAAGACUACCUUCUCAGAAAAUUUAUCUUCCAAACAAGAUAUUCGAGGAACCAAAACUGAGCCCCCUCCGAUAGGAACAACUAACCAAGGACAAGCUCAGACAAAUCUUACAGUGAAGCAAGAUAAUGUAACAAUUAAAGGUCUUCAAGCUAAUGUUAGCAUACCAAAGGUAAAUUUAUGUUUAUUACAAGCUUCAGUAGAAGAAUCUCCAGCUACAGCUCCUAGUAGAAGUGUGACUCAUGUUUCCCUAGUAGCCUUGUGUUUUGACAGAAUUGCUACGCAAGUUCGUAUGAACAGAGGUGUGGUUGAAGAGACUUCAAAUAAUGCCGAUCCUAGUAAAACAUCAAAUUUUGAUAGAUAUGUUCAUGCCACUAAGAUGCAGCCUCAGUCAUCUGGAUCUCUCAGGUCAAAUGCUGGAGCAGAAAAAGGCAAAGAAAUUGCUGCCAAGUUAAACAUUCAUCGAGUUCAUGGGCAACUUAGGGGUCUUGACACAACAGAUAUUGGAACCUGUGCCAUUACUGCUAUUCCUUUUGAGAAGUCCAAAGUUUUAUUUACACUAGAAGAACUGGAUGAAUUUACUUUUGUAGAUGAAACAGAUCAGCAAGCUGUCCCGGAUGUAACUCGAAUAGGUCCUAGCCAAGAAAAAUGGGGUUGGAUAAUGUUUGAAUGUGGACUUGAAAAUUUAACCAUAAAAGGAGGAAGACAGUCUGGGGCUAUUUUAUAUAACAGUUUUGGAAUUAUGGGUAAAGCUAAUGUCACAGAGAGAGGUGGAGUACUGACCUCCAAUAAUUCUUCCGAUUCUCCAACUGGCAGUGGUUACAAUACUGAUGUCUCUGAUGAUAAUCUUCCAUGUGACCGGACAAGUCCUUCCUCUGACUUAAAUGGAAAUUCUGUUUCAGAUGAACAAGACGAAGGAGUCGAAUCUGAUGAUUUAAAAAAAGAUCUACCUCUAAUGCCUCCACCUCCAGAUUCAUGUAGCAUGAAGUUGACCAUUAAAGAAAUUUGGUUUAGUUUUGCAGCUCCCACCAAUGUGAGAUCUCCUACACAUGCAUUUUCUAGGCAGCUGAAUCUUCUAAGCACUGCAACUCCAGCUGUUGGCGCAUGGCUUGUCCCCAUUGACCAACUCAAGUCCUCUGUAAACAAACUGGAAACUGAAGGGACUCUGAGAAUCUGUGCUGUUAUGGGAUGCAUAAUGACAGAAGCCUUAGAGAAUAAAAGUGUACAUUUUCCCCUAAGAAGUAAAUACAACAGACUUACGAAAGUUGCCCGCUUUCUUCAAGAAAAUCCUUCAUGUUUACUUUGUAAUAUAUUACAUCACUACCUGCAUCAAGCAAAUUAUUCCAUCAUUGAUGAUGCUACUAUGAGUGAUGGACUUCCUGCUUUAGUAACUUUAAAGAAAGGUUUAGUUGCACUGGCAAGACAGUGGAUGAAGUUUAUUGUGGUGACACCUGCCUUUAAAGGAGUUAGCUUACAUAGACCUGCUCAGCCCCUGAAACCUCAAGUGGCUGUGGACCACGAACAUGAGGAUGGACUUGGUGUAGACAAUGGGGGUGGUCUUCAAAGUGACACUAGUGCUGAUGGAGCAGAAUUCGAGUUUGAUGCAGCCACAGUCAGUGAACACACAAUGCUACUGGAAGGAACAGCUAACCGGCCACCACCUGGUAGCUCUGGGCCUGUUACUGGAGCUGAGAUAAUGAGGAAACUUUCAAAAACUCACACUCAUAGUGACUCUGCAUUAAAAAUAAAGGGCAUUCAUCCAUAUCAUUCUCUGAGCUAUACCAGUGGAGACACUGCCACAGAUUCUCCAGUGCAUGUUGGGCGUGCUGGAAUGCCAGUAAAAGAAAGUCCAAGGAAGGAGAGCCUACUUAGCUAUCUGACUGGAAGCUUUCCAAGCUUGCAUAAUCUUCUGGAGGGGACUCCACAGAGGAGUAGUGCAGCUGCGAAAAGUAGCUCCUUGACAAGAACAGGAAAUACAGUGGCCACUGAUAUGUUAUCUGAACACCCUUUGCUGUCUGAGCCAUCAUCUGUGAGUUUCUAUAAUUGGAUGUCAAAUGCUGUGAGUAAUAGAGGGAGCAUGGUACAAGAAUCUCCUGCAACAAAAUCAGGACACAAUAGUCUUCCAACAGGUGUUGCACCCAAUCUCCCUACAAUACCCUCAGCCUCAGAUUUCAACACAGUCUUGUCUAGUGACCAGAAUACUUUGGAUGGAACACAUUCUCAGCAUAGCACUAGUCAGGAUGAUGUGGCGGGUGUAGAAGAAGCCAACCAAGGAUUCCCUGCUGUUCAGCUUGCUGAUGCACAGGUUGUUUUUAAACCUCUUCUGAGUCAUACAGGGAUCCAGUCACAGGACACAAUGCCACUCUGCUAUCGAAUGUACUUUGGAGAACACCUUUCAUUUUCAGGGACACUAGACUGCCUCAGAGCAGAUAUUGUGGAUUCAGACACAGCCAAAGAGAGAAAAGGCAAAAGAGCAAGAAGGCAAGGCCACGUGAAUCUUCCUCCACUUGAGUUCAAACCAGCAUUAAUGUUGGAAACCUUUAGCAUCAGUGCUGUGGUAAUGGAAAAGUCUGUGUGCACUCCGCAGAACUCUGCCAACGCUCUUUCUUUCCAUGACCUCAACAAGCGCUAUUACAAUACCUUCCACUGCAACUUUACUAUUUCCUGUCAGUCAAUUAGCCAGCAUGUAGAUAUGGCAUUGGUUCGUCUUAUUCAUCAGUUCAGUACAAUGAUAGAUGAUAUCAAAGCCACUCAGACUGACAUUAAACUUAGUAGAUAUACAGCUGGAUCUGCUUCCCCAACACCUACCUUCAAAACCAGAAAACAUAGAGAUUUUCGUUCAUCUGACUUCAGCCGCAGUUCUAGAGGAAGUCUUAAUGGUGGCAACAGAGUAAAUAAUGUCAAGAAUAAACGGGCCAACAAUGAGAAUAACAAAAAGGAAUCUCGAAACAAAAAUUCAUUAGGAAGAUCUGAAAGAAGAACUUCAAAAGUAUCUAGGAAAGGUUCAAAAGAUGUCGUAGAUCACAUGACUAUUCAUAUGGAUGACUCUGAUUCAAUUACAGUGUCAGAACAAAGUGAGCCUUCAGCUGAGUGCUGGCAGAAUAUGUAUAAAUUACUUAACUUCUAUUCACUUAUCUCUGACCCAACAGGAAUAUUGGAAAAAUCUUCAGAAACUUUUGGACCACCAGGAGUUCGGAGCCCUACAGAGCCAACAUGUAAAGUUGUGUUUGAGAAUGAACAAGACAACAACAGUUUGACUAAGACACAGAGGAAACGGAGCUUGGUGACUUCUGAACCUCAGCAUGUUACACUAAUAGUUUUUGGGAUUGGCAUGGUGAACCGCACACACCUGGAGGCAGACAUUGGUGGCCUAACAAUGGAAUCAGAACUGAAGAGGAUCCAUGGCAGUUUUACCCUUAAGGAAAAAAUGAAAGAUGUUUUACAUCAAAAGAUGACAGAAACAUGUGCCACUGCUCAUAUUGGUGGAGUUAAUAUUGUACUACUUGAAGGGAUUACACCAAAUAUACAGUAAGUGUGUCAAUUUUUGUUAUUAUCUUGUACUUACUUGUCAUAGAUUUAUAGAAAAAGUUCUUUGAAUGAGCGACAUGCUGAAGUUUGAGGUUUAUACACAAUGUUUCCAGAUACUAAAAUUCUGAUUGUCAUUAAGGAUAUUCCCUAAUAAAAUAAUUUUAGAACAAUGUUUGUUUUCCUAAAUUGAUUUUGCUACCAGACCCUACCCAAGUAACAACCAACCAAAACCUGAUUCCCAGUAUAUUGUUAAGAUUGCCUAGUAGAAAACAUGAUCUCAGGGUAUAAAAUAGCAUAUAAUAUGUGAAUGUUAGUGUAAUUUGUAGUUAAUUUAAAAAUUAUAGACAA